rnacentral:rRNA from 1 species
GGAAGGGGCGAAAGCUUAACAUGCAAGUCAUACGAGAAUUUUUAAUUCAAGUGGCGGACGGGUGAGUAACACGUAAGAAUUUGCCUUUAGGAGGGGGACAACAACUGGAAACGGUUGCUAAUACCCCAUAUGCUUUCGAGUGAAAUGGAUUUUUCCGCCUAGAGAGAAGCUUGCGGCUGAUUAGCUUGUUGGUAAGGUAAUGGCUUACCAAGGCGACGAUCAGUAUCUGGUUUGAGAGGAUGAUCAGACACACUGGAACUGAGACACGGUCCAGACUCCUACGGGAGGCAGCAGUGGGGAAUUUUCCGCAAUGGGCGAAAGCCUGACGGAGCAAUCUCGCGUGAGGGAUGACGGCCUAUGGGUUGUAAACCUCUUUUUUCAGGGAGGAACAAAAUGACGUGUACCUGAAGAAUAAGCAUCGGCUAACUCCGUGCCAGCAGCCGCGGUAAGACGGAGGAUGCAAGUGUUAUCCGGAAUCACUGGGCGUAAAGCGUCUGUAGGUGGUUUAGUAAGUCAACUGUUAAAUCUUGAAGCUCAACUUCAAAAUCGCAGUCGAAACUACUAGACUAGAGUAUAGUAGGGGUAAAGGGAAUUUCCAGUGGAGCGGUGAAAUGCGUAGAUAUUGGAAAGAACACCGAUGGCGAAGGCACUUUACUGGGCUAUUACUGACACUCAGAGACGAAAGCUAGGGUAGCAAAUGGGAUUAGAUACCCCAGUAGUCCUAGCCGUAAACAAUGGAUACUAGAUGUUGAACAGAUCGACCUGUGCAGUAUUAAAGCUAACGCGUUAAGUAUCCCGCCUGGGAAGUAUGCUCGCAAGAGUGAAACUCAAAGGAAUUGACGG